rnacentral:rRNA from 1 species
AGAAUCAACGCUGGCGGCGUGCCUAACACAUGCAAGUCGCACGAGAAAGGGUAGCAAUACCUGAGUAAAGUGGCGCACGGGUGAGUAACACGUGAAUUAUCUACCUCCGAGUGGGGAAUAACUGAGAGAAAUCUUAGCUAAUACCGCAUAGCACUUACGAGUCAAAGCAGCAAUGCGCUUGGAGAGGAGUUCGCGGCAGAUUAGUUAGUUGGCGGGGUAAUGGCCCACCAAGACGAUGAUCUGUA